UAUCAGCUCUGGGCUCUUGGCGAGGGGGCGUGGUGGAAAGCUGGGCGGGGCUUCCGGAAAAGUGGCUGUGGAGGUUGGGGCUCUAGUCUUGGGUGUCUGGUCUUUUUCUCCUCUUCUAGAGACUCCAGUAGAGUACUUUCUAUGUUAGGGCAAAAGUUAACCCGGGAUAUUUACUCCUUCCUGGGCGGGAGGAUGGCCGAGUCAUCUUUCCUGAUUCAUCCUAGUACUUCCUCUUACUCAGAGUCAGAUGGGGGAAAGUCAGAGAAAACUUUGUUGAAGAGUCUCACAUCUUACUGCAUGAGUCUUUCAUCAGGGAGCAAAGAUGAAUCGAUUCGUUCCUGAUAGAUGUCUUCCAUUAUAGGGAGAUGGUGACUAAUGACAGACAUCACACAUGCCCAUGGAUAUUUAAAUAGUAUCACAUUGUUUAUCUUAAGAAACAAAGACAGAAAAAGCCUAUGAAGAAACUUCUUCAAUUUCCCCAUCCCCAGCUGAAGACAACAUAAUUUCAUCAGGGAAUGCCAACAGGAUGUCAUGCUAGAGAAAUAAUGAAAGAGCCGACUACAGUGUAUUGAAACAUCUCCUUAUUGAGAAGGUCUUAAGAAAAGGUUGGUCAGUUUUACUCAAUAUUCUGUGACUUGAGAGUUACUCACAGGAAGUCCUCAGUAGGAAUGUUCAGCGCCUAUAAAUAUCAAAAUAUGCCCUUUCCCCUCCAUUUCAAAGUCAGUGUAGUAAUCUGACUGUGAAGACGACACAGCGUUUGAAACUGAAGGAAUCUCCUUUUUAGAGCAGACAGAGAGUAGCCAUUGGUCACUUCUCUACAGAUGAUACUGACAUCCCGUUUGUCACUCUAACUCUGGCCCGUUUCUUUACCUGGUAACUUAUUCCUGCAUGCUUGUGGACAAUUCAGUUUGAACGUGUCUUCAUACUCUCAAGCUCAGCAGUAUCCUCCAGGCAUCUUGCCUCCCAGGUUUUCUCAGUUCCCCUUAAUACUGUUUCAGGGCAAAAACCCUGGGCUGUGUUGAGGUUCCAGUUUUGUCAACUAUAAAAAAUUUCCCAACAAGC